rnacentral:RNase_P_RNA from 1 species
CAAGUAAGACAGACAAUCGCGGCUGACGUAAGGUCAGGUGAGGAAAGUCCGGGCUUCACAGGGCAGGAUGCCGGAUAACGUCCGGUGGAGGUGACUCCAAGGCCAGUGCAACAGAAAUAAACCGCCGGAGCAAAAAGCUCCGGUAAGGGUGGAAAGGCAGUGUAAGAGACUACCGCCCGGCUGGUAACAGGCGGGGCACAUGUAAACCCCAUUCGAAGCAAGACCAAGCAGAAGCAUAUGGCGGCCCGUCAGCUUCAGGUAGGUCGCUUGAGCGCAUCGGUAACGGUGCGCCUAGAUAGAUGAUUGUCCAACGACAUAACCCGGCUUAUCGUCUUGCUUGCUGU